rnacentral:rRNA from 1 species
GAGCGGCGGACGGGUGAGUAACGCGUAGGAAUCUACCUAGUAGAAGGGGAUAGCCCGAGGAAACUCGGAUUAAUACCGUAUACCUCCUUAGGGAGAAAGAGGGCUUAGCUUUGAUGCUCUCGCUAUUAGAUGAGCCUGCGUAAGAUUAGCUUGUUGGUGAAGUAAUGGCUCACCAAGGCGACGAUCUUUAGCUGGUCUGAGAGGACGAUCAGCCACAUUGGGACUGAGACACGGCCCAGACUCCUACGGGAGGCAGCAGUGGGGAAUAUUGGACAAUGGGCGCAAGCCUGAUCCAGCCAUACCGCGUGUGUGAAGAAGGCUUUCGGGUUGUAAAGCACUUUAAGUAAGGAGAAAAAGAUUGUAGUUAAUACCUGCAAUCCUUGAUGUUACUUACAGAAUAAGGACCGGCUAAUUCCGUGCCAGCAGCCGCGGUAAUACGGAAGGUCCAAGCGUUAAUCGGAAUUACUGGGCGUAAAGCGCGCGUAGGUGGUUUUUUAAGUUGGAUGUGAAAGCCCUGGGCUCAACCUAGGAACUGCAUCCAAAACUAGAUGACUAGAGUACGAAAGAGGGAAGUAGAAUUCAUAGUGUAGCGGUGGAAUGCGUAGAUAUUGUGAAGAAUACCAAUGGCGAAGGCAGCUUCCUGGUUCUGUACUGACACUAAGGUGCGAAAGCGUGGGUAGCGAACAGGAUUAGAUACCCUGGUAGUCCACGCCGUAAACGAUGACAACUAGCUGUUGGGAGACAAGAUCUCUCAGUGGCGCAGCUAACGCUUAAGU